rnacentral:rRNA from 1 species
GACGAACGCUGGCGGCGUGCCUAAUACAUGCAAGUUGAGCGCUGAAGGUUGGUACUUGUACCAACUGGAUGAGCAGCGAACGGGUGAGUAACGCGUGGGGAAUCUGCCUUUGAGCGGGGGACAACAUUUGGAAACGAAUGCUAAUACCGCAUAAAAACUUUAAACACAAGUUUUAAGUUUGAAAGAUGCAAUUGCAUCACUCAAAGAUGAUCCCGCGUUGUAUUAGCUAGUUGGUGAGGUAAAGGCUCACCAAGGCGAUGAUACAUAGCCGACCUGAGAGGGUGAUCGGCCACAUUGGGACUGAGACACGGCCCAAAGUCCUACGGGAGGCAGCAGUACGGAAUCUUCGGCCAUGGACGAAAGUCUGACCGAGCAACGCCGCGGGAGUGAAGAAGGUUGUCGGAUCGUAAAACUCUGUUGGUAGAGAAGAACGUUCGUGAGAGUGGAAAGCUCAUCAAGUGACGGUAACUACCCAGAAAGGGACGGCUAACUACGUG